rnacentral:rRNA from 1 species
GACGAACGCUGGCGGCGUGCCUAAUACAUGCAAGUCGAGCGAAGUUUUUCUGGUGCUUGCACCGGAAAAACUUAGCGGCGAACGGGUGAGUAACACAUAAAGAACCUGCCUCAUAGACUGGGACAACUAUUGGAAACGAUAGCUAAUACCGGAUAAUAGCAUUAACUGCAUGGUUGAUGUUUAAAAGUUGGUUUUGCUAACACUAUGAGAUGGCUUUGCGGUGCAUUAGCUAGUUGGUGGGGUAAAGGCCUACCAAGGCGACGAUGCAUAGCCGACCUGAGAGGGUGAUCGGCCACACUGGGACUGAGACACGGCCCAGACUCCUACGGGAGGCAGCAGUAGGGAAUCUUCCGCAAUGGGCGAAAGCCUGACGGAGCAACGCCGCGUGAGUGAAGAAGGAUUUCGGUUCGUAAAGCUCUGUUGUUAGGGAAGAAUGAUUGUGUAGUAACUAUACACAGUAGAGACGGUACCUAACCAGAAAGCCACGGCUAACUACGUG